rnacentral:rRNA from 1 species
GGGGGUACGUUGAUCGGAUAUUGGGCGUAAGCGCGCGCAGGUGGUUUCUUAAGUCUGAUGUGAAAGCCCACGGCUCAACCGGGGAGGGUCAUUGGAAACUGGGAGACUUGAGUGCAGAAGAGGAUAGUGGAAUUCCAAGUGUAGCGGUGAAAUGCGUAGAGAUUUGGAGGAACACCAGUGGCGAAGGCGACCAUCUGGUCUGUAACUGACACUGAGGCGCGAAAGCGUGGGGAGCAAACAGGAUUAGAUACCCUGGUAGUCCACGCCGUAAACGAUGAGUGCUAGGUGUUAGGGGGUUUCCGCCCCUUAUUGCUGCACCUAACGCAUUAAUCACUCCGCCGGGGGAGUACGGUCGCAAGACUGAAACUCAAAGGAAUUGACGGGGGCCCGCACAACCGGUGAAGCAGGUGGUUUAAUUCAAAGCACCGCGAAAAACCUUACCACGUCUUGCCUUCCCAUUGACCACUGUAGAGAUAUGGUUUCCCCUUCGGGGGCUAAGGUGACUGGUGGUGCAUGGUUGUCGUCUCCUCGUGUCAUGUGAUGUUGGGUUAAGUCCCGCAACGAGCGCAACCCUUGAUCUUAGUUGCCAUCAUUUACUUGGGCACUCUAGGGUGACUGCCGGUGACACACCGGAAGAGGGUGGGGAUGACGUCAAAUCAUCGUGCCCCUUAUGACCUGGGCUACACACGUGCUACUGUGGACGAUACAGACGGUUGCCAACUCGCGAGAGGGAGCAAUCCGAUAAUGUCUUCACACUUCAGAUUGUACGCUGCAACUCGCCUACGUGAUCCCAGACUCGCUAAUAAUCGCAGAUCAUCGUGGCGGCGGAUGAAUACUUUCCGGGGCCCGUGUACACACCGCCUGUCACACCGAGGAGAGUGUUGCAACACCAGAUAUCGGUGAGGUCACUCUGUAGAGCC